rnacentral:rRNA from 1 species
UACGAAGGGGGCUAGCGUUGUUCGGAAUUACUGGGCGUAAAGGGCGCGUAGGCGGUGCCUCAAGUCAGACGUGAAAGCCCCGGGCUCAACCUGGGAACCGCGCUUGAGACUGGAGUACUAGAGUUCGGGAGAGGAUGGUGGAAUUCCCAGUGUAGAGGUGAAAUUCGUAGAUAUUGGGAAGAACACCGAUGGCGAAGGCAGCCAUCUGGACCGACACUGACGCUGAGGCGCGAAAGCGUGGGGAGCAAACAGG